rnacentral:rRNA from 1 species
CCUACGGGUGGCAGCAGUGAGGAAUAUUGGUCAAUGGCCGGAAGGCUGAACCAGCCAUGCCGCGUGAAGGUCAGUGCCCUAUGGGCGUUAAACCUCUUUUGUGCGGGAGCAAUAAUGGUCAACUGUGGCCAGACGAGAGUACCGUACGAAUAAGCAUCGGCUAACUCCGUGCCAGCAGCCGCGGGUAUACGGGGGAUGCAGGCGUUAUACGGAUUUUUUGGGGUUGAAGGGUGCGUAGGCUGUGUGGUAAGUCAGCGGUGAAAUGCCUCCGGUCAAAGGGGUGAAGUGCCAUUGAUACUGGCUGGCUGGAGUGCGGAUGAGGUAGGAGGAAUGUGUGGUGUAGCGGUGAAAUGCAUAGAUAUCACGAAGAACACCGAUUGCGAAGGCAUCUCACGAAUCCGCGAUUGACGCUGAUGCACGAAAGCGUGGGUAUCAAACAGGAUUAGAUACCCGUGUAGUC